CCCUACCUUGUUUUAACCUGAGUGACUCUCUCCUAGCGGAGAGAGAGCCGGACAGACUCCAUUUUAGUUUCUUCACGUGCAGCCCCCUUUACCUUCCACCCUUAAUUGCAUAACUAGUGUAAACUGACUCAAAGCAGGUCCAGGAAUGCACUUAGUGAUAAGAUAUUGAGGCAAGCUGCACCAGCUGCUCCUGGGUACGCACUCGGUGAAUGUCACGCAAAACCCCUGCAUUUCUCUCUUUGUGAUAGUUUAAGCCCCUGCACCUGGAACUGUUUAUUUGUUUUGUAACUGCUAUUGUAACCAAUUAAUAUUUUAACUAUUUGCCAGCUCUGCUUCUGUAAAACUUGUUUCAGCUAAACUCCCCCCUCCCCUAUUUAGACCACGGUAUAAAAACAAAACCAGCCCCUUCCUCGGGGCCAAGAGAAUUUUGAGCAUUACAUGCCUCUCGGUUACCGGCUAAUAAAGGACUCCUUAAUUUGUCUCAAAGUGUGGCAUUCCUCUAUAACUCGCUUGGUUACAACAGUCCACACUGUGGCCUGAGGUGCAUUGCCCACCUGAGCUUCAUCUGUUAUGUAUGUCAGGGAAUAUAAGCAGGGUGAGAGUGGCCUCAUCAGAGGACCCCAGAUCUCUGGCUUACCCAUCUGGCAAGUGCACCUCUGUGAGCAAAGACUUCAGAGCCAGGUGACAAGAAUGGCCCAAGCAGUCCACCAGGAAAACCUGGGCCCAGUGUACGUCAAUGCAGAGCAUCAAGCAUGGUGUAACAGGUGCACAGUUGCCUACUCCUGUUCAGAGAUGACUGCAUCCCACAUACCGUAAAAUGAGGAAAUGCAUAGAAGCAGAUGUAACUGAAGAAGACAGCAGAAGCAACAAGGAGGGACAACCAGGACCUAGGAGGGCACCAUGCCAGAGACGCCUGGACCCCAUGCUAGGCUCAGUGCCUGUUAUACUCUUGGGAGCCAGCACUUUCCC
rnacentral:lncRNA from 1 species